rnacentral:lncRNA from 1 species
CUGGGGUGUCAGGCAGGGAGGGGGGAAGAGAGAGAGAGAAAAAAGCACGACUUACAUUAGCAGGGAAUAGUCAGAUCUGGGGCAUCAUAACGGCUAAGAUCAGACUGCAAGCCCAGCUGAAAGCAAGCCCAGGACUAGGAGAGAAAGGGAGACCGACAGACACGCGACUGUUCACACAUAUGUGUCCGGUCCCUCCUGAGACUUCACGGGGUCCUGGGUCUGUGUGGCUCCUCCUCAUGUGAUCCACUCAUCGUCUCCAGCGGAGAAAACGACCAGGCUUGAUCGGGUUCCUUCGGCUUCUCCUUCCCUCCCUUCCUUCCUUUAUUUAUUUGGGGGCAGCGGGAGGGCAGGAAGAGAAGCGCGGAGAGAAAGUGUGCUGGGGAUGCCAGCGCCCUGGGCUGCGCGUUGGAGGAGGAGGUGGAGGAGAAAGGGGGAGGAUGAUGCCGCUGCCUCCUAAGGGAGGAAGGAGAGAGAAGGGGAACGGAGCGCUCCGGAGAGGAGGCUCAGGCAAGCGCCAGCCUGCGGGGAAGCGGAGCCUGCAGGGCGGGCUCGGGCUCCGGCAGCUUUUCGCCCGCACCACAUUGGAUACUGCCAAAGGCGACCAGCACGGCCACCACCAAGGAGAAGCGCCGUCAGCUGCAGCAAAAGUUUUGGUGUGGGGGGCAAAAGGCGCAGAGGGGGAUUAUGAUCGGUGCCGGAGAAGGAUUCCCAGCCCUGCCAGAAACACAUGGACUCAGAAGCAGUAAACUCUCCCUUAAAGGCUUCUCAGAUCCAUCAUCAAGCUGAAAUGAAGACCUUGGAGGCUGAAGAAAGCUGAGUGCACCACUACGUUGCUUCGGAGAAAGGAACUACUGGUCCAGCCAACCUUUCUCCUGACAACUUUUGGUAGCUUUAAAUUGCCGGUUGCUUACCUUGAAAGACACAGUUAUUGCUUUUUUCAGCACACAUGGAGGAAGGCAGAAAAGUGUGUAACCCUGGCUAAUCAAACUUUGGCUUUCCUAUGAAGAGCAGAAGGCCAAUCAUAAAAGAAUUAUUUCACAGUUAGCCUCCUGGACUUUACUUCUGACCUGAUCACUGGACACAAAUACAAGCCGAUUCCAACAAUCUGAGUUUUCACUACCUGUUCUUUAUCAUUGUUUUAAUUUCUCUUUCUUUGGUAU